GUUCAUAAACUUUGGGUUUUUAUUUUUAUUUAUUUAUUUAUUUAUUUAUUUUGAGCUUGCCAGAGAAUCACAUCAGCCUGUCUUCUGCCUGGCUCUCCUAGCCACCGUCUUGCACUGGUAGUGCACAGGGAGAUGCACUAGAGCUGAUUUCAGACACACUGGGGUAACCGGAGGGAUGAUUCAUCAAGAUGGGAAAUAGUGUUAGUGUUGGGUGUGCGUUGAUGUGGCUGAUGGGAGCAGUGUAAAAGUGACAGGUGCAAAAGAAUAAGGGAUGGCAAUGAAGCAAUUAGCCACAUUUUGCGAAGGAAAAGGGCUGAGGAUGACUCCCAAGUGUCAGAUUCAGGUGAUGAGAGCAGAGAAUGCUUAACAGCAAAGGGAAAAAAAGUCAUUAAAGAACAAAGUGCCGUAAGGAGAGCCAGAUUCCUGGGGAACUACGGCAAUGUGGAGACAAAGCAUUUAUAAGCAAAACUGAAAUGGAGUUCAUCUGCAGCCGGACUGAAAGUGAUGCAGUGAAUGAACCGACAAUAUCCACCUGCUCCAGAUGUGGAGAGGCAGUGGAUGACCAAUGCUGGGCUGCCCAGUUGCCUUCUGAGGUAGCUGGCACAACCGGGAUGGCUCAUACCCAGACUGCGUCCUGUCAACAGAAAGGCAAAUGGGGAACAAAUAGAUUCAUGUGAGUCUGCAGUGUCUGAAUAGGAGUCAAAGCAGUUCCCAGUUAGCCUUGUUGCUAUAUUGAGAAGUGGUUUAUUUACUUUUUCAGAGUUUUUGCCCAUUGGUUGCCGAUAAGCUGUGUUUGAAAUGCUGCUCUUACUACUCACCUCCCCAACCACUCGCAGUGCCUCAGGAUUCCUUUCUUGAUAUUGCUGAAGCCUCUCAAGGCCAAUACUGGAAAAUGGAGCUGGGACACAGUGGCACUGAUACAUCUGCUUCUUGUGACCAUCAUUUUAUCUUGAGAAAGAUUUAAGGGAAAGAGAUGUAUGCAAUGCUGCCUGAAGACAUCCAGUGCUGGACAGCAGAGAAUUCCGUCAGAAGAAAAUAAAAAUAUAAAAUGAGAGAAAUAAAGAAUGAGAAAGAAAUGAACCUCUGGAAGAUUGAGUUCUGAAGGCUGGAAAGACCCGCUUGUAUCAUCCUGCCUGACACCCUUUCCAACAGCAGGCAAGGAGCCACGUUCAGCAACCUCCUGCCUGAUUCAGAGAUGUGUAGAUGAGCAGAAGUGUAUGAUUUUAAAAUUCCUUAUCAUCCAGGAAACAUUGAAGACAACUCUAACUCCAGAUGACUUCACUUCCAUCAUUUAUUGUUUGUUAUCUUGAGACUAUGAAGCAUGAGGUUUGUUGCAGCUGAGUUUAAGCAUCUAAAAAACAGGGGUGACUCAUGGACUUCCUGGUAACCACAUCUAUGACCAUGAAGAACCGCAGGCGCUACAGAGGAACCCAGCCAAGGCCAGGACUCCUUUGGUGAUGCAGAGGAGAUCUCUAAAGAUCAAAGCAAACAGAAUUUCCCUUCCUGACAAGUUGGGAACAAGAGACCAGGCACUAAUGUAGAGCUUGCAUCUUCACUACUUUCUCUCCUGGAAAAAUGGGAAAAAAAAUCUGCAAGUUUGGUAUUCUUCCUCAAUCCCCUUUGGUCCAAACACCGAAAGAAACUUUCUUGCUCUGGCCUCUGAAGCCACUGAGCCCAGUAUUUUCCUUACAGUGCCUCAGCACAGGGCUGGGGACCUUCCCUGCAGGAAGAAAUAUCAGCGUGGAAACUGCUCCACGCUCCAUUCAGCAGGGAGCCUCUUCGCUGAGAUUGCCAAUGAGAGUGAAUGCAGCCAGCUCCCGAAGAGCUGUGGUUUCAGUGGUGGGGGCACCUGUCCAGUAGGAAGUUCUCUGAAACCUCCAACUCAUUUCAUUGGUUCCUCCAAAGACCAACAAAACACAAACAAUAUUCAAUCACUGCUAACCAAGGCUGAUUUUGGGCUAGAUGCUUGAAGUGAAAUACUACCUAUUGGAUGAGCAGCCCCUGCUGUAAGUCAGUUACAUAUUGCAGUAUUUGAAGCCAAU
ensembl:lncRNA